ACAGAUGCAAGAAAAACAUCCUCGCGCUUUCUGCCUGUCUGAUUGUGGCAGCCCAGAUUGAAUGGGGGAACACAGGG
ensembl:snoRNA Small nucleolar RNA SNORA31